CCCAGAAGCACUUUUUGUGAGGCGUUAGGCUCUGGUUAGAUAAUGUUAGGUAUGCUCUCUUCAAGAAGCAUAAAAAGAAUGCUAUGUUUUCUUUCGUUUUUUUUCGCGCUGUGGUAAAGAGCGGUGACAGGUCAGAACACAAAGAAAACACGUUUCGUAUCUGAAUGGCGACAGUAAUCAUGAAAAGUAGCGCAUCUGAAUUUGUGGAUUCUCCAGGAGUGGUCAACAAUAAUCGCUGUGCAUCAGAAGCCGGCGAUGGAUGGAGAACCACAUUUGAUUGAAAUGCGUUGCCGAAGAGAAGGAGCGCAACGACGAUGAACAGCGGCAGUGCACCGAAGCAGAAAAAAACUACGGCUGGCUGAGGAUGGGGAAUAAAACUGUCGCUGUGGAUCAAAAGCCGGCGAUGGAUGGAGGACCGCAUUUGAUUUCAAUGCGUUGCCGAAGAGCAGGAGCGGAAGCGACGAUGAUGAACAGCGGCAGUGCACCGAAGCGGAAAAACUACGGCUGGCUGAGGAAGGGGAAUAAAACCGCUGCGGACACAGAGUUCAAAUCCGGUCCGAUUACGCUGGUUGGAUUCAAGAAAACACGAUUCUGGCAACGGGCGGUCAGACUGACAAAAAAUACCGGAAGUUGGAUACAACCAAGAUACGAUGGAUAGUUUUGGUUCAGUCAGGAGUUUUGAUGUUGUAUACGGAGGAUCUCAGGUCGUUGGACAGAGGUCUUUCCACACGUCUCAAAAUGGGCACAAUUUCAGUUACAAUUGUGCAAAACAGUUGUUCGUAUUAUUUUGAAGUUAU